UUGCUAAGGUGUUGCUAGGUGGUUGCUAAGGUGUUGUUAUGGUAUCCUGGGUGGUUGCUAAGGUGUUGCUAGGUGGUUGCUAGGCGGUUGCUAAGGUGUUGUUAUGGCAUCCGGGGUGGUUGCUAAGAUGUUGCUAGGUGGUUGCUAAGGUGUUGCUAUAGUAUCCGGGGUGGUUGCUAAGGUGUUGCUAGGCGGUUGCUAGGCGGUUGCUAAGGUGUUGCUAUGGUGUCUGUGGUGGUUGCUAAGGUGUUGCUAGGUGGUUGCUAAGAUGUUGCUAUGGUAUCUGGGGUGGUUGCUAAGGUGUUGCUAGGUGUAUCUGACUGGUCGCUAGGCAGUUGCUACCAUUUCUAAAGUGGUUGCUAAGCAGUUGCUAACGUUUUCCAGGUGGUUGCUAAGGUGUUGCUAUCUGGUUGCUAGGCAGUUGCUAACGUAUUACACAUGGUUGCUAAGUGGUUGCUAGGCAGUUGCUAAUGUUUUCCAGGUGGUUGCUAAGGUGUAUCUAACUGGUUGCUAGGCAGUAGUAGAUAAAAAGAAAGAGUGUUAAAUGUAGAAGUACAGAAAAAGGGAGAGCCUGAAAUAGAGAAGUAGAGAGAAAAUCAGCGUGAGAAGUAGAAAAAGAACACCCGAGAAUGUGAGAAAAAGAGUGACAAGUAGAGAGAAAUAUUGAGCGAGAGAAAGAGAAUUAGGGAAAAAGAGAGAUCGAGAAAUAAAGAAGUAGAGAAAGAAAGAGGAUGUAGUAGAGAGAUAGAUAGAAAGAGAAAGCAAGACAGAAAAGUAGAGUGAAAGAGAAGUAGAGAGAAGAGCGAGAAAUAAAGAGUAAGAGAGAAAUAGAGAAAUAGAAAAGUAGAAAGAAAGAGACAUAGAAAAGUAGAGAGAGUGAGAAAUAGAGAAGUAGAGAGAGAGAGUGAGAAAGAGAGAGUGAGAAAUAGAGAAGAAGAGAGCAAAAGAGAGUGAGAAAUAGAGAAGCAGAGAGAGAGUGAGAAAUAGAGAAGUAGAGAGAGAGUGAGAAAGAGAGAGUGAGAAAUAGAGACGUAGAGAGAGUGAGAAAUAGAGACGUAGAGAGAGAGUGAGAAAGAGAGUGAGAAAUAGAGAAGUAGAGAGAGAGUGAGAAAUAGAGACGUAGAGAGAGAGUGAAAAAGAGAGUGAGAAAUAUAGAAGUAGAGAGAGUGAGAAAUAUAGAAGUAGAGAGAGAGAGUGAGAAAUAGAGACGUAGAGAGAGAGUGAGAAAGAGAGAGUGAGAUAGAGAAGUAGAGAGAGAGUGAGAAAUAGAGUGAGAAAUAGACGUAGAGAGAGAGUGAGAAAGAGAGUGAGAAAUAGAGACGUAGAGAGAGAGUGAGAAAUAGAGUGAGAAAUAGAGACGUAGAGAGAGAGUGAGAAAGAGAGUGAGAAAUAGAGACGUAGAGAGAGAGUGAGAAAGAGAGAGUGGUUGCUAAACAGUUAAUAGGUGGUUGCAAAGCGCUGGCUGGGGUGCCCGGGGUGUCCAAACUUUUGACUGAUAGCUGCUCCAUACAGCAGCUCCUCCAUACACUCACAGUACUGGAGGAGCAGGGGAGAGAAGGGGUUCCGUGCGCAGAGCUGCUCGUGUGUGAGAUGGAACUCUGGGCCCCCCAUUCAUUUCUAUGGGAAAACUUCGUACGACAAUUGUACGAAAACCGUACGUCGUAUCGCUUCGCAACCUACUAUUAAUUUAAAGAUCUUGAUAAGAUCUAUUAGCUCGCCGAAUUUGGUCUUCGUAUCUCAAAAAUUGUGACCGUCACGGACGUUCAAAAUUCUCCCCCAUUCAUUCCUAUGGGGAAAAAAUGCGUACGUUUACGAAGUUUUUACGAAAACCGUACGAUAAAUCGCUCCAAAAAGCACAAGCAACGUAAUUCACUAUAGGUCCUACGAUCCGUGAAAGUUUCGUGAUUCUACGAUAAAAGCUCUAGGAGGAGUAGCGUACAGAAAAAAAGGCGUAAGAAUAAUAAUAAUAACUAGAAAAGGAAAGUUCGAUAACGAACUUUAAGUUGGCUUGGAAAAGUACGUUAAUAACGUUGAAAAAGUUAAAAUGGUUGCUAAGAUAUUUCUGUCUAAAGCGUGUGAAGAGUGGUUGCUUUGCUGUUGACUUUCAGCUAAAUGUUAAAGUCCAAAAAGUUUUGGCUAACAUGGUGAAAAGCUAAUAAUUGUCUUAUAAAGUAAUAUAAACACUUUACUUUAUAUAUACCUAUAUAAAUUAAAGUGUUGCUAAGUGGUUGCUAGGUAGUUACUAGGCAGUUGCUAAUGUAUUCCACAUCGUUGCUUAGUGUUUGCUAAUUGGUUGCUAAGCAGAUUCUUACAUAUUCCAGGUGGUUGCUAAGCUGUUGCUAACUGGUUGCUAGGCAAUUGCUAAUGUAUUCCACAUGGUUGUUAAGUGGUUGCUAGGCAGUUUCUAAUAUUUUCCAGGUGGUUGCUAAGUGGUUGCUAACUGGUUGCUAUGCAGUUGCUAACAUAUUCCACAUGGUUUCCAAGUGGUUGCUAAGGUGUUGAUAUGGUAUCCGGGUUGGUUGCUAAGGUGUUGCUAGGUGGUUGCUAAGGUGUUGCUAUGGUAUCCAGGGUGGUUGGUAAGGUGUUGCUAGGUGGUUGCUAAGGUGUUGCUAUGGUAUCCGGGGUGUUG